CCGGCGUCAGUUGGUAUCAGAGCGUCAGCAUCUUCUUGGGAGAUAAAUUCCAUCAGUUAUAAUGGUUGGUGGACGUGGUCGUGGUCGUCGAGGACAGGUUCCGAUUGAGGAAGUCCAACACCGUGAUCGUAAUAUUCAGGAUGUGACGAUUGAAGAUUUGCAGAGACAAGUUGCGGAGUUAACCCAACGUUUGGCGGAGCAGGAGUUCGGUAAUCAUGAUGUAGAAGGUCACGAUUCCGAUACCAGUUUCGAAAACCCGUAUCACCAUCGUGCUCGAGUUUGGGAGCAUCGUGGACGGGAGGAUCGUCAUGUGGAUCUCGGUUUCAGAGUGGAUCUGCCCGAGUUUUCUGGUACGUUGCAGGCUGAAGGAUUUAUUGAUUGG
rnacentral:lncRNA from 1 species